AAAGCUUUAAGUUAAAAAAACUAAUAACCUUCAAAGUUAUAAAUAUAAAUUAUUUAUAAGCUUUA
rnacentral:tRNA from 1 species